rnacentral:misc_RNA from 1 species
GGCAUGAUGAGCAGUAAACUUUCCAGCAGACAAGUUCACUAACCAGCCCAAUUCUAAAAACAUGGCCAAAGAGUUGAAUUACAUGGAUUCAGCAGUUGGACAUGGAGGAAUUGAUAUAUCAGUGAUCCCUUCUAACAUCAUAACUACACUCUUCAUUGAAGGACGAAGAGCUGGUUCAUCCUGAAUACACCACAGUGCCACCAUCACCAUUUUCUCCAAGCUCUUCUUGUCAGCUUCUUCCCCAAUUACUAGCUUCUGCAACUCUCCAGCAACAAAACAUUGGUGUACCCAAGUUGAUAGAAUAAUCUCUUCUGGUUUUGAUGUGUUAAGCUCCAUAUUCCUUCUGCAGCAAACAAUUUCCAAGAGCACAAUUCCAUAACUGUAGACGUCUGCCUUAACUGAAAUUGGUGUGUUCUUGAGCCAUUCUGGUGCUACAUACCCCCUGGUUCCCCUCAAAAUUGUGAAGGUCCUUGUUUGAUCUGGCAUCAGCAAUUUUGCCAACCCAAAAUCAGCUAUCUUAGCAGUCCAAAAAUCAUCCAUCAAUAUGUUCUGUGGUUUUAUAUCGCAAUGAAUGAUGGGAGUCUCACACUCCUCGUGUAGAUAAAGGAUCCCUUUCGCAACAUCAAUUGCAAUUCUUCUUCUCUCGUUCCAAUCUGGCCUACCUGAAGACUUGAAUAGUAGAUUUGCAAGGGAGCCAUUGCCUAUGUAUUCGUAAACCAGAAGUCUUUUUGAAUCCACGGCGCAGUAUCCCAACAACCGGACUAAGUUCUUGUGGUGAGUUCUUCCUAUUGCUCGCAUCUCUGCCUGGAACUCCCUUUCACCUUCUUCCAGUAACUUCUCUAGCCUCUUCACUGCAACAAGCUUUUUUCCUCUGUAUAAAGUCCCUUUGUACACUGCUCCAAAUGAACCCUUUCCCAGCUCUUCUUUGAAGCCAUUUGUUGCUACUUUAAGCUCUUUGUAUGAAAACAACCGCAAUUUAAGCUCCUCAGUCAGACCAUCCUCCCCAUUUUCCAGUAGCCUUUUAUAUCUUAUGGAUCGGAUUUUGUAAAUGAAUAAACAAAAAAUUAUAAGGCUAAUACAUGAAAACAGGACAAGACCAGAAGUCAUAAGAAUUGCGGGCAGUAGUUCUUUUUCGCUUGCAAACACAAUAAUGGUUGGCUUUGAAGGGAUAAGGUCAGUCCUAUUACCUCCAAUGCCUACCUUCAACAAAGCUGUGGUGGACGCAUCUUGAUCUCCUAAUUGAAUUUUUCUAACAACAUACCUCAGUGGAAGCCCUUGUUUCAUGCACAUGUUUUUAGAGAACAGUGCUGCCCCGCAGUUGCAGUCUUCCAAACAAGACUUGCUGCAUUCGUCUAUGGACAUGGAUUGUUGAACAUAAUGACGGUCUCCCCACUCAAUAUUUUCCAUGGUAGUGAUGUUAAAAUGGAGUGCAUUUUCUUUCCCACCUUUACACCCUGAUUCUGAAUAGUUUCUACUACAGCCAAGAGUCCCUUGAUUAGGGUCAAUGAGAGCAGAACCAGGAAGACAAAGACAUACUGGUUGGUCGCCAUUUAAUGUGCAAUAACUAUU